rnacentral:lncRNA from 1 species
UUGUCACGUGACCAAGUAACCCUUCAGAAAGAUGGCGACCAGCAGCAGUGAAUUCCCUGCUUCUUAUUCGGCUGGGCAAUUUGCGAGUGAAAGUCCCAGCUGUGACAAUGGCCACUCGGAUUAUUUCAACAUGGGGGACAGAACGAAAACAGAGCAGUUAAAUGUCAUCCAUAUGCAUAUGGAGUUGAAAAAGAAGAAUAUUGAGGAAUUGAUGGAAAGAUUUGGAACCGAGCAGCCACCACCUCCAAUAUUUCUUGAGGAAUACCAAGACCUGACGGAUCAACUGAGUGAGUUACAGGUUGAAGAACAGAGGAUUAACAAUGAGAUGAGUAAUGGGCACACCUCACCAAACCUUCAGACCACACCCCCUCCAGAACCAGCAGAUCUCCACGUACCCUACCAUAACAAACAGAGCCUAGCUCCACCCCACAAGAGGGAAUUCACAAAUCAGCAACAUCCAAAGUCACCGCUUAGCCAGUCAGUUAGGGCUUUCUUGCCAAAUCAGCAGAGAACAUCGGUACUAGCCAAGUCUGGAACCACCCUCAAAUAUUGUCUCUCGAAAGCCAUGAAGAUGAGGGAGUUAACACCAGAGAUGUGCAUAGUGUAUCGGGUCAACCCCAGGAUGGCUCUGAGCUGGGAUACGGAUAUGAUGUACCUGGCAGGAGAAGAAAUAUCUGUAGAACUGAAAGCCCAAAAUUUCCCAGCACCAAGUAGCAUAUCACAUAAUUUUGUCAGAAAAACCUUCUUCGCAAUAGCCUUUUGUGACAGCUGUCAGAAGCUGCUAUUCCACGGCUUCCGAUGUCAAACAUGCAGCUACAAAUUCCAUCAGCGAUGUGCUAACAAAGUGCCCACGAUAUGCAUAUCGACAACAGGAGAUAAUCUUUACAAGCUAUUAUUGGCAUUGCGGAAAGAAGAUGACUACAAUGAUUAUCCCGAUACCUUCCCCGAUGAGCCUGAAUCGCCAUCAUCGGACGACCAAGAUUUCCCAAGGAAUACGUUACCACGGGAACGCUCGACAUCCGCACCGAACAUCUGUCAAAAUGCAGUUAACGUACCUGGUCAACAGUUUGAUAGUGAAGCUUUUUCAAGAUUCGCUUUUCCAGUAAAAAGCUCUCUAAAUCCAAAUGGACACACUGCUAGCGCCGCUGUUAACAUCCAUGGGGCUCACGGCGGUGGACAUGGCAAAGUGCUAACCCCGAACAGUGCCGUUCAGGAUGGCGUCUUUGACUAUGACCCCACUAACAUCGCCAAUGGCUUAGCGUCUAGUUUACCGAACACUAGGAACCUGAUACACAGUCCAAAAAGAGAGUCUGGAUCGCACAGUUCCCAACCCUCCCCCACCCAUCAGCCUAGGUGGAAGGACGUCCUUCCUGGCUCUGACUCUAAGGAUAACAAGAUCAAACCUCCCACCACAUUGCUAGGUCAUAGGAGGACAAGAAGAGAUUCCAAUGACGACUGGGAGAUACCAACUGAUGAGAUUAGGUUAGGAUCAAGGAUAGGAGCAGGAUCAUUUGGAACUGUGUUCAGUGGACAAUGGCAUGGUUCUGUAGCAGUGAAGAGGUUGAAUGUUAAGGAUCCAACUCCAUCACAACUACAAGCAUUCAAGAAUGAGGUCGCUGUACUUAGGAAAACGAGGCACGCCAACAUCCUGCUUUUCAUGGGGUGCACCUCCAAGCCCCAGCUAGCAAUCGUGACACAGUGGUGUGAAGGCUCGUCACUCUAUAAACAUCUCCAUGUUCUAGACACUAAAUUAGUCAUGCAUCAACUUAUUGACAUAUCAAGACAGACAGCACAGGGUAUGGACUACCUCCAUGCAAAGAACAUCAUCCAUCGAGACCUGAAAUCAAACAAUAUCUUCCUGCACGAUGACCUCACAGUGAAGAUAGGAGACUUUGGGCUAGCUACGGUCAAAUCAAGGUGGAGUGGGUCACAGCAGUUUGAGCAGCCUUCAGGUUCAAUACUCUGGAUGGCGCCUGAAGUGAUUAGGAUGAGGGAUACUAACCCAUACUCAUUCCAGUCUGAUGUCUAUGCAUUUGGAGUGGUUCUCUUUGAGUUGGUCACGCAAUCUUUGCCAUAUCAGAACAUCAAACACAAAGAUCAGAUCAUCUGGAUGGUUGGGCGUGGUUACUUACAGCCGGACCUGAGCAAGGUUCGGAACGACACGCCCAAGGCACUCAAGAGACUUAUCACAGACUGCUAUGCGCUCAAUAGAGAUGAGAGACCCUUGUUCCCUGUGGUUUUGGCAGCGUUGGAGAGCUUGGCCAGGCAGCUACCGAAGAUCCACCGCAGUGCAUCGGAACCUUCGUCGCUAAAUCGGGCGAGGUUACAUUCAGACGAUUUCAUGUACUGCCCUUCCCCCAAGACCCCCAUUCAAAGCCAAUUUGCUGUCUUCCCAUUUGACAUGCGUGGAUGAUGACAGUUUAUGCUGUGAACAAACGAAGCGAAGCGACUUGGCUUCUCACUUUUCAAUUAAAUGGACAAUCGACUAUCUAUACCCCAAACUGUGGAAAUGGGUAUAAUGUGAUGACUUGUAUGACAUUUGAACAUGAAGACAGAACAUAUCUUGAAAUCUAGUGACAGAUUAGUGGUAGAAAUAAAAGCCUGGAAAGGAUGAUGAAUCAGCAUUCUUCAGGAGCUAAUGUCAACUACCACAGAAAUCUACCUAACAGAGGAACUUAGCUAUCAUGAUGGAGAAUAUGAAAUGAAAUUUGUGGAAUAUUGAAAGAACUCUGCUUCAUCAUGCAACAUAAUUAUGUGAAAUUUGACAAAUCAAGUUAAGAUGAUGCACAUCAUAGAUGAAACACUUUGCGAGUCAUCUUCUGGAAGACAUUGUGUAAGAGAUUUAAGAGAUUUUUUUGAAAUAAUGGUGCAUGGAUCCUAAAGUGAAAAUGGAAUUUGAAUACUACAGCAAAUGCCUUAUGACCGACACAAUAGGCAAUCUGCGACCCGGCAAGAUGAAGAGAAGGAGACAGAUCUGUUUCUGUAUGACGGAACACUGCAAUCGUCCAAACUGAGAGGACGCAAGUGUUAGGAUAUGCUGUGACAGGAAAGAAAUCAUCGAAAUGCAGCACAUCUGUAGAUUUUUAUCAUGAAAUUAUCAAUAUUCAAGUCUUAGAGAAAAAUACACACACACACCCUACGCAUUUUAUUGAAUCCAAACGUUUCAUGUAGAUCAUAUAUACGAAAUACUGAACAUGUAUGUAUGUAUGUAUGUAGAUUAGUAAGGUCAAGGCUCACUAAUACAGAAGAUGCUAAGUUUUGAGAUUUAUUGUAUAUUGUUGAAUUCAAAAGUUAAACUUUAAAAAAUAGUGAAUGCAGGGGAAAGUGGAUUGUAAUAGUAAAUGAAUUGUAAAAAUCUUCAAGAUGUACUGAACAGGCACCCAGGAAUCAUUGCUUCAUACGUGAUGGCACAUUAAAUAUAUAUCUGUCAAUUUUUAGGUGUGGUAAGGGACAUCCAUUUCUUUCAUGAUUUGUUUGAAAGUCUACCCUCCUUUGGCACAUGUUUUUAUAUACUCUUAUCUCAUCAGGAAAGAGAGGAAUUAUGUGUCCUCUUAGCAAUGCAAAAUUCAUAUUCAGUCACUGUGUGAGAUGGUCCACAAAUAUGUAAGCAUUUGAAAAUUAAUUAUGAGCCCAUGAUCAUGAUUAGAUCACUGUCAUUGCUGAACUUUUCUUUUAUAUACCCACCACCCUACAUGUGCUUGCUUAUGCAUACAACUGACAUUUAUCAAACACAGAUUUUACAUCUGUCUAUAUAUGAUGAUGAUGAAUCUAAUAAACACAUCUCUUUGCCUGAUCUGAACACACUGCUUUUUAGAAGCAACCUAUCUGCAGUAUACUGCACCAAAUCUGAACUCACAAAGAGACAAAACUAUAUUUUCUGUAUUGGAUUUAUGUAUUCUUCAACAUAAUUAAUGAUUAUAAAUCCUCGGACACUGUUUUUCAUUCUGAAUUAAAUUGACAUCUAGAAUAGAGUUAGGGUUAUCAUUUGUUUAAAUUUAUUUCGAAGUCCAUUUUUUAGACUCUGUUGAUAGCUGAUGCGCCCAUAUACCAUAUUACAGCAUGAGUCAGACUUUGACCUUUUUACACUUUACUACGAUCUCUUUGUCAUCGCAAGUUGCACUUUAUUUUUGUAUUAUUAACUCCAACAUCAUUUAUACAUUCAUACUUCUGCAUACUACUUAGUGAGUCUGAGUGUUAAAUUUAAUUUGGUUUUAUCUGCUUCUGAUUCAAUUUGAAAGUUGUGCUAACCUGACAUUUUCAUCAACAUGGCUCAAAGUCAAUCCCACAAUGUUAGCACCAGAAGACGAAAAAAAGAAAAAAAGUAAUCUACAAAAUAAUGAAAACACACUUUUUAAAUGAUAACAGCACAAUUUACAAUGUGUUUUCUAAAAGGACUUCUUAAAAUAUUUUUAAUAAGAGAGAGGACACAAUUGUAAGACUGAAUUUUUAUUAAUUGCCUUGAAAACACAUAAACAAUAUUUUCCCUCUACAUUUUAUAAUGUACAUAUGAUCGUGCAUAAUUUAUCCACAGAUGGUGUUCCUAAUUCCAAAUACAAUAUUUAUCUCUCAAUUCUUAGAGAAAUUUUCUUACAAAAUAAUGAGGCAUUCAGACUUGCCUGCUUGUGUAGAAGCAUGACUGCGAAUAGACUUUCUAAUCUUGUGUGUAAUGUAUUUUACAUGUAUUGUAUGUAGAUCAGACUUGUGUGUACAUUUACUGAAGUAGCAUUCUGGAAUGAAUAUUAGUUUGUCUUUAAUCUGAUAUCUUAUAGAUUUGGGCUGGUCCCAAUAUUGCGUGGAUUUUGAAAAUAUUUGAGAGUAGAGAGAGCGAGAGAGGGGGGAAGAAAGAGAGAGAGAGAGAGAGAGAGAAAGCAUCUAUUUUUAUUCUGUGUUGUGAUCCAUCUACCCACUGCAUGAAAUGUAUCUGACUUCUGUCUGUUCUAUAUUUAUCUCUUUUUAUACAUCAUUAGCCCAUUACAUCUCACUUAGGAAUAGGUUUUAAUUAUGGGAAGUGUCACAUAUUGCUUCCCAUCUAGAGAUAUAUUGGUCCAAUUCAAAUCGUUUAUAUUUAUUCAAAACUUACUCCCCAUAACUUAUCGAAGACCAACAGCAGAAAUUAUAAAAGCAUCACAUUUUCUUGUAUUUAAUAAGAGGCAUAAUAAAUUCUACAUUGUAAAAGUACAUUUGAUAAACAAAAUUGCAUAUUGUAAUUGGAAUACCUAUAAUUGAAAAGCAGAUUAGGUAGUGUUAUCUUUUUAUGUAUAUUUCAAUAAUUUUCUCUGUAGCCAUGCUAAGGCACAACCCAUUAUGGUCUUGAUGUAUUUUGGUAUUUAUCAUUUUAUUUAUUCCAUAUUUAAUGCAAGAAACGUUUUAUUUUAUUCAAUUGAAUGGUGCAGAUCACUAGACAGAGUGGAUUCACUGUUCUCACACCAGCAAUUUUCAUAAGGAGUGUUUGUGAUAGGGUCUGUGAAAAAUAAAUCAAUGAAAUUUGAAUUCAGAAGAAGAAAAACAUGCCUUAUUUGUAGAUGAACAAGGGUUCUUAUAUUUCUCACAGUCAUAUCUUGAGAAACUCACUAAAUUAUGGUGAAUUUUAAGUUAUUAUCUUGACUAAUUUGGUAAAUUAUGGGUUGAAUCAAUUAUUUUACCCUAAGUUGCUUUUUGUUAACAAUGGGAAGCUAAGUUGGCAUGACUCAAAUUAUUUAUAUCUGUGUAUAGACUAAAAAUAUACUUUUAUCAAUGAUGGCACUUGUAUAAUAUUAAUACAAUGGGAGUAAGCACAUACGUCAGUGGCAUUACCUUCAAAUGCAUUCAACAUAUUUUGCACACACAUUUAUUUUGCAGUAACUAAAGAGGAAUUGGUGUCAAGAGAAAAAUGUUGCCACUCUGAUUUUCACUCAUCUAAGGCACACAUAUUUCAGAGCACUGCAGACAUUUCUCAGACACUGCAUAAAUUGCUCUCUGUCUGCAAAUUAAGAAUUAAGUAUUAGUGCACAAGAAGUCAUUCAACACUUACAGAAACUUUAUCAAAUAUAUUUGAGGUGAAAUAGCCGCUAGUAUGCUCUCUUGUUAAUAUGCUAUCAUCCAUCGCAAAGACAUUGUGGAAUAUUCGAAUACAGAAAUCUCUUUUAUUUCUUUUGUGUAAACUAGUUUCGUUGUUGAUUGGGCCGAAUUCCAUGACAAUCCAAAUUAGUAAGUUCACUUUCUAUACAUAUCCCUGACAACAGAGGAUUUUAAAAUGCACUAAAAAGCAUUGCCUCUUUUGAAUUAUUUUGGUAUUCCUUUAAACAUGGUUCAAAUCCUGGAGAAUAAGCAACUCAUUACCUAAGGGAUGGUCAUUUUAAUUUGUCUGUAACUUUCUUUUUAUUGAAUAUUUAAUUCAGAUGGAAAUUAUGCUAGAUUGUAUGAAUGUGUUGGGAUUAUGUGUUUGCAAUGGACAAAUGGUAGAAAAUAAAUUGGACAAAUGGACGGAAAGGAGAUGAUUAUCACUUCUAAUGGAGAUGAUUGAAAAAAUGCUUUAGAAAGAGGAGUACAUGUUUUUAAGAACAGAUGUUAUUUUUCUUGAUUGUCAAUGUUUGUAUUAUUUAAUCAUUAAUUGUAUUUCUUGAUUUUUAUGUAAUUGUGUUAUUUUUUUCAGAAAUUUCAAUGGCUACAUUAUUGCACGACCCAAAUCAAUUUUUUUGUUUUGUGGACUUGACAGAGAUAAAUAAAAUAUAUAUAUCUAUAUAUAUUUGUACUUACUUUGAAUACAUGCACUGUUGAGACCGAAUGUAAAUCUUACUGUCUGAUGAGAAACAAAGAAACUAUUUCUAUUUAAUAAUGCUGUAAUAAUGAUACAAACUAACGUCAAAUUUAUGUAUGUGCAUAUUACAAAUGAAAAUUAACAUGGAAAUUGUAUUGUAUGAACUGAAAAGAUUAAAGACGUAUUGAUAGUAUUUGACAGAUGUAUAGGUUUAUGAGCAUUGUGUGUAAAAUAUUGCUAUAUUACUAUAAUAAAACAAUUUAUUUGCUCUGUACAGAUUCUGUUUUGUAGGAAACCAAGAUUUUUUUUCCAUAUGAAAUUUAUUUACUUGUUUGUUUUAUUUGUGUCAUCAUGUAUACAAUGUAAAUUAAACUACAAGAAUUAAAGGAAUGGCCUUCUUUUGUAUGAUUACUAUGUCAGCAAUUAGUUUUAUCGCUCUGUAAGGAAGAGUGAACAACAGACAUUGUAAAGUUUUUAAUGCAAGUAUUUUGUCAUGGUUGACUUUGAUUUUGCAAAUUAAAUUCUCAAAUUGUAAAUGCACUCUU